rnacentral:rRNA from 1 species
UACGUAGGGUGCAAGCGUUGUCCGGAAUUAUUGGGCGUAAAGAGCUCGUAGGCGGUCUGUCGCGUCUGCUGUGAAAACUCGGGGCUUAACUCCGAGCCUGCUUCUGAUACGGGCAGACUAGAGGUAUGCAGGGGAGAAUGGAAUUCCUGGUGUAGCGGUGAAAUGCGCAGAUAUCAGGAGGAACACCGGUGGCGAAGGCGGUUCUCUGGGCAUGACCUGACGCUGAGGAGCGAAAGUGUGGGGAGCGAACAGG